rnacentral:RNase_P_RNA from 1 species
GGAUGAUCGGGCAAUCGCCUCCCGAUACGUCGGGAAGAGGAAAGUCCGAACACCAGCGAGCACCGUACUUCCUAACAGGAAGAUCCCGAACUUUCGGGAUAGCAAGUGCCACAGAAAACAAACUACCUUCGAGCAAUCGGGGGCAAAGGUGAAAAGGUGAGGUAAGAGCUCACCGCUCCGGUGGUAACAUUCGGAGGCAGGGCAAACUCUUACGGGGUGCAAGCUCAUGCAGGCUGUGCGUCGCUCGUCGCCAUACAGCCGGGUAGAGUGCUCGAGCCUCAAAGUGAUUUGGGGACCAGAUAAAUGAUUGCCAUCCCGAUACAGUCGGGAUACAGAAUUCGGCUUACAGAUCAUCCC